rnacentral:rRNA from 1 species
CGAAAGAUUGAUCUAGUUACUUAUUAGGAUGAUAUAAAAAUAUAUAUAUAUAUUAUAUAUAUAUAUAAUAUUGAUAAACAAUAAAAUCCAUAAAUAAUUAAAAUAAUGAUAUUAAUUAUUCUCUAAAAUGAGGAAUAUAAUUAUAUUUUAUAUAUAAUAAUAUUUUAAUAGUCCUAACAAAAAUUUGUGCCAGCAGCUGCGGUAAAACAAAGAGGGCUAGCGUUAAUCAUAAUGGCUUAAAGGAUCCGUAGAAUGAUAUAUAUAUAAUAUUAUAUAUUAGAAUUAAUAAAAUUAAUUAAAGAAUUAUAAUAGUAAAGAUGAAAUAAUAAUAAUAAUUAUAAGACUGGUAUAUGUGAAAAUAUUAAUUAAUUAUUAAUUGACAUUGAGGGAUGAAAACUAGAGUAGCGAUAUGGAUUCGAUACCCAAGUAGUUCUAGUUGUAAACUAUGAAUACCAUUAUUUAAUAUAAAUAUAUUAAUAAUAAAUGAAAAUGAAAGUAUUCCGCCUGAAGAAUACGUACGCUAGUAUGAAAUUCAAGACAAUAGACGGUUACAGACUUAAGCAGUGGAGCAU